CCUACGGGAGGCUGCAGUGAGGAAUAUUGGUCAAUGGACGCAAGCCUGAACCAGCCAUGCCGCGUGCAGGAAGACGGCUCUAUGAGUUGUAAACUGCUUUUGUACGGGGAUAAACGCAGAUACGCGUAUCUGUCUGAAAGUAGCGUACGAAUAAGGAUCGGCUAACUCCGUGCCAGCAGCCGCGGUAAUACGGAGGAUUCAAGCGUUAUCCGGAUUUAUUGGGUUUAAAGGGUGCGUAGGCGGGCGGAUAAGUUAGAGGUGAAAUCCCGAGGCUCAACUUCGGAAUUGCCUCUGAUACUGUUCGGCUAGAGAGUAGGUGAGGUAGGCGGAAUGUAUGGUGUAGCGGUGAAAUGCUUAGAGAUCAUACAGAACACCGAUUGCGAAGGCAGCUUACCAAGCUACUUCUGACGUUGAGGCACGAAAGCGUGGGGAGCAAACAGGAUUAGAUACCCGGGUAGUC
rnacentral:rRNA from 1 species